rnacentral:rRNA from 1 species
AGAGUUUGAUCAUGGCUCAGAUUGAACGCUGGCGGCAGGCUUAACACAUGCAAGUCGAGCGGGGGAGAUUGCUUCGGUAAUUGACCUAGCGGCGGACGGGUGAGUAAUACUUAGGAAUCUGCCUAUUAAUGGGGGACAACAUCUCGAAAGGGAUGCUAAUACCGCAUACGCCCUACGGGGGAAAGCAGGGGAUCACUUGUGACCUUGCGUUAAUAGAUGAGCCUAAGUCGGAUUAGCUAGUUGGUGGGGUAAAGGCCUACCAAGGCGACGAUCUGUAGCGGGUCUGAGAGGAUGAUCCGCCACACUGGGACUGAGACACGGCCCAGACUCCUACGGGAGGCAGCAGUGGGGAAUAUUGGACAAUGGGGGGAACCCUGAUCCAGCCAUGCCGCGUGUGUGAAGAAGGCCUUAUGGUUGU